rnacentral:misc_RNA from 1 species
AUAUCCUUCAACCUUUCUUUGGUUUCUCAACCAACGGGAGGCUUGGACUUUGGGGGUUUUUCAUUGCUGGCCUCACUUGAAGCCAGCUCCUCCUAAAUGGAUUAGUGGGGUCUGCUUUGCAAAUCCUCGACGUGAUAAGAUGUUUCUACGUCUUGGGUUUUGCACUGUUGCUUUGGACUCUGCUUCUAACCGUCUUGCAUUCAGGACAGUUUAUGAA